rnacentral:rRNA from 1 species
CAGCCGCCGCGGUAAUACGUAGGGUGCGAGCGUUAAUCGGAAUUACUGGGCGUAAAGCGUGCGCAGGCGGUUAUAUAAGACAGAUGUGAAAUCCCCGGGCUCAACCUGGGACCUGCAUUUGUGACUGUAUAGCUAGAGUACGGUAGAGGGGGAUGGAAUUCCGCGUGUAGCAGUGAAAUGCGUAGAUAUGCGGAGGAACACCGAUGGCGAAGGCAAUCCCCUGGACCUGUACUGACGCUCAUGUACGAAAGCGUGGGGAGCAAACAGGAUUAGAUACCCCCGUAGUCCCUGUCUCUUAUAC